rnacentral:rRNA from 1 species
UACAGAGGUCCCGAGCGUUGUUCGGAUUCAUUGGGCGUAAAGGGUGCGUAGGCGGCGGGGCAAGUCUGAUGUGAAAUCCUGGGGCUCAACCCUGGAACUGCAUUGGAUACUGCCUUGCUAGAGUACUGGAGAGGAAACUGGAAUUUACGGUGUAGCAGUGAAAUGCUUAGAUAUCGUCAAGAACACCGAUAGUGAAGACAGCUCACUAAGCUCAAACUGACGCUGAGGCACGAAAGUGUGGGGAUCAAACAGG